CGGGAUUAUUUAGAAGCUUGCUUCUAAAUAAUCUAGCGGCGGACGGGUGAGUAACACGUAGGCAACCUGCCCACAAGACAGGGAUAACUACCGGAAACGGUAGCUAAUACCCGAUAGAUCCUUAUCCUGCAUGGGAGAAGGAAGAAAGACGGAGCAAUCUGUCACUUGUGGAUGGGCCUGCGGCGCAUUAGCUAGUUGGUGGGGUAAAGGCCUACCAAGGCGACGAUGCGUAGCCGACCUGAGAGGGUGAUCGGCCACACUGGGACUGAGACACGGCCCAGACUCCUACGGGAGGCAGCAGUAGGGAAUCUUCCGCAAUGGGCGAAAGCCUGACGGAGCAACGCCGCGUGAGUGAUGAAGGUUUUCGGAUCGUAAAGCUCUGUUGCCAGGGAAGAACGCUUGAGAGAGUAACUGCUCUUGAGGUGACGGUACCUGAGAAGAAAGCCCCGGCUAACUACGUGCCAGCAGCCGCGGUAAUACGUAUGGGGCAAGCGUUGUCCGGAAUUAUUGGGCGUAAAGCGCGCGCAGGCGGCUCUUUAAGUCUGGUGUUUAAUCCCGAGGCUCAACUUCGGGUCGCACUGGAAACUGGUGAGCUUGAGUGCAUAAGAGGAGAGUGGAAUUCCAACGUGUA
rnacentral:rRNA from 1 species